GACGAACGCUGGCGGCGUGCUUAGCACAUGCAAGUCGAGCGGUAAGGCCCUUUCGGGGGUACACGAGCGGCGAACGGGUGAGUAACACGUGGGUGACCUGCCCUCAGCUCUGGGAUAAGCCUGGGAAACCGGGUCUAAUACCGGAUAUGACUCCAUGACGCAUGUUGUGGGGUGGAAAGCCUUGUGCGGCUGAGGAUGGGCCCGCGGCCUAUCAGCUUGUUGGUGGGGNGAUGGCCUACCAAGGCGACGACGGGUAGCCGGCCUGAGAGGGCGACCGGCCACACUGGGACUGAGACACGGCCCAGACUCCUACGGGAGGCGAGCAGUGGGGAAUCUUGCGCAAUGGGCGAAAGCCUGACGCAGCGACGCCGCGUGAGGGAUGACGGCCUGGU
rnacentral:rRNA from 1 species